AUUGAACGCUAGCGGGAGGCUUAACACAUGCAAGUCGAGGGGCAUCACGGGUAGCAAUACCUGGUGGCGACCGGCAGACGGGUGAGUAACGCGUAUGUAACCUACCCUGUACAGGGGGAUAACCCGGAGAAAUUCGGACUAAUAUCCCAUAAUGAUAUCUGGGGGCAUCUUCGGAUAUUUAAAGUUCCGGCGGUACAGGAUGGGCAUGCGUAACAUUAGCUAGUUGGUAAGGUAACGGCUUACCAAGGCUUUGAUGUUUAGGGGUCCUGAGAGGGUGGUCCCCCACACUGGUACUGAGACACGGACCAGACUCCUACGGGAGGCGGCAGUGGGGAAUCUUGCGCAAUGGGGCGAAAAGCCUGACGCAGCAACGCCGCGUGCGGGAUGACGGCCUUCGUGGUUGUAAACCGCUUUCAGCAGGGACGGAAAAAUGACGGUACCUGCAGAAGAAGCCCGGCUAACUACGUGCCAGCAGCCGCGGU
rnacentral:rRNA from 1 species